AGAGUUUGAUCCUGGCUCAGGAUGAACGCUGGCGGCGUGCCUAACACAUGCAAGUCGAGCGAACCCUUCGGGGUGAGCGGCGGACGGGUGAGUAACGCGUGGGUAACCUGCCCUGUACACACGGAUAACAUACCGAAAGGUAUGCUAAUACGGGAUAAUAUAUGAGAGUCGCAUGGCUUUUGUAUCAAAGCUCCGGCGGUACAGGAUGGACCCGCGUCUGAUUAGCUAGUUGGUAAGGUAACGGCUUACCAAGGCAACGAUCAGUAGCCGACCUGAGAGGGUGAUCGGCCACAUUGGAACUGAGACACGGUCCAAACUCCUACGGGAGGCAGCAGUGGGGAAUAUUGCACAAUGGGCGAAAGCCUGAUGCAGCAACGCCGCGUGAGCGAUGAAGGCCUUCGGGUCGUAAAGCUCUGUCCUCAAGGAAGAUAAUGACGGUACUUGAGGAGGAAGCCCCGGCUAACUACGUGCCAGCAGCCGCGGUAAUACGUAGGGGGCUAGCGUUAUCCGGAAUUACUGGGCGUAAAGGGUGCGUAGGCGGUCUUUCAAGCCAGAAGUGAAAGGCUACGGCUCAACCGUAGUAAGCUUUUGGAACUGUAGGACUUGAGUGCAGGAGAGGAGAGUGGAAUUCCUAGUGUAGCGGUGAAAUGCGUAGAUAUUAGGAGGAACACCAGUAGCGAAGGCGGCUCUCUGGACUGUAACUGACGCUGAGGCACGAAAGCGUGGGGAGCAAACAGGAUUAGAUACCCUGGUAGUCCACGCCGUAAAC
rnacentral:rRNA from 1 species